rnacentral:lncRNA from 13 species
CCACUAACAUACUGUUACUGUCCUCUCUUCCACUAACAUACUGUUUCUGUCCUCUCUUCCACUGACUGUUAUGUUCAGCUCAUAGUGUCUUCUGUUACUGUCCUCCCUUCCACUGACAUACUGUUACUGUCCUCUCUUCCACUGACAUACUGUUAUGUUCAGCUCAUAGUGUCUCCUGUUACUGUCCUCUCUUCCACUGACUGUUAUUCAGCUCAUAGUGUCUCCUGUUACUGUCCUCUCUUCCACUGACUGUUAUGUUCAGCUCAUAGUGUCUCCUGAUAUGUUCAGCUCAUAGUGUCUCCUGUUACUGUCCUCUCUUCCACUGACUGUUAUGUUCAGCUCAUGGUGUCUCCUCU